AUUGAACGCUGGCGGCAUGCCUUACACAUGCAAGUCGAUCGGUAACAGGUCUUCGGAUGCUGACGAGUGGCGAACGGGUGAGUAAUACAUCGGAACGUGCCUAGUAGUGGGGGAUAACUACUCGAAAGAGUGGCUAAUACCGCAUGAGAUCUACGGAUGAAAGCAGGGGAUCGCAAGACCUUGUGCUACUAGAGCGGCCGAUGGCAGAUUAGGUAGUUGGUGGGAUAAAAGCUUACCAAGCCGACGAUCUGUAGCUGGUCUGAGAGGACGAUCGGCCACACUGGGACUGAGACACGGCCCAGACUCCUACGGGAGGCAGCAGUGGGGAAUUUUGGACAAUGGGCGCAAGCCUGAUCCAGCAAUGCCGCGUGCAGGAUGAAGGCCUUCGGGUUGUAAACUGCUUUUGUACGGAACGAAAAGCCCUGGGUUAAUACCCUGGGGUCAUGACGGUACCGUAAGAAUAAGCACCGGCUAACUACGUGCCAGCCGCCGCGGUAAGAC
rnacentral:rRNA from 1 species